GUGUUGCUGUGGUGCCUUUGUGUUUGGGAUCGCUGGCUGGGAGCAGGCAACUGAUACAUUUUCUUCUCCAUAAUGGUACUGGUCCUGUAUUUUAGAUCCAGAAAUGGUUUACCUCAUCACAACUACUGUUUCUCAAAUCCAAGGCAAGAUUGUUUGAAAAUGGAACUGAGCAGAUUCUAAAGCAGUUUGGGAAAAUAAUCAGUCUUACCAACAGAGGUUAUAUAGAAAUGUAAUCAACAAAAUAAAGACCUUCCUGGUGAACACUGACUAUUCGCGUCACAGAAAAAACAGUUUGUAGAAGGUAAAACUAUUAUUCUUA